UCCACAGAGGCUGAGAGGCUGCCACUCUCCAGGAGAAGAUCUUCAUCUCUAGCAUUUUAUCAACCUGAGAUGUCCCCUCAGAGUCCAAAGCCCAUACAGCAUUCACAAAUCAGUACAUCCCAGAAGUCCUCUUUUGGUAACUGAUGAGAGCUGAAGCUACAUGCUGAGGCUCUCUAUACCUGCCAGAGAAGGGAUCUGGGGCAAGAAGCAUCUCUGAACUGAACCAAAACUGAAAGCCCAAACUCCAUGUCUAUAUUCUACAGAAUUUCAGUAUUAUUUUAUGUUCACCGAGUCCUGAAGAAAUGAUGGCACCGAUGAAAGCAGGAAUAACGAGGAUCAUUCUGUACAGCUGAGUAUUGCAGACAGAAGCCAGGAGAGAGGCACUUACUCCUCUUUACUGCCUUCCUGGGAAAAAGCACCAGUUUAGUGAUGUCUCGGCACCCACCCCUGAGCCAGCAGCUCCAUUUUUUCUUGUAAUUAACAACUAUUUAAUAUUUAUGAAGUAAGUGCCACGGGGUAACACUUACUCGUCAGAUCAACAACCCUGUUGGUUUGCAAACUGAAAGGAAAGCACUGGCCCUACCUCUGAGCACCGCAACCACCGCAGCCGUACCAGCUUCUGCUCUUCAGAGUUUUCUUCAAGCACCAGGAGAGGAGGAUGCUACUGGCAGAAAGGUAGCCAUAUCUACUCCUUUUUUUCAGACAAUCACAGGGGAACAUGCUGUGCUGUGACUCUCUUCACCAUGUGGAGAAGCUCUCGAAAUACCCUGGAGACUCCCACUGUUGGGCUGUGAGUAAGAGAGCUAGCACAGGCCCUGUGAGCAUGUGUAACUCUAGUGUCAUAGCCACUAUAUGCUGUGGUUGAAAGUUGUACCUUUCAAAGCUGAUAAAAUGACCCCUUUACAGCAAUGAGGAUAAUAUAACUUCUCGAGAGUAUUACUAGGUGUGGGGGACGUUUUCUACUGCUGCAGUCUUCAGUAAAAGAUAGGAUAACUUUGUAAAAGUUUUGUUUUGGUCAUCAAAAUCAGUCUCUAUGAUAAAGCUGGCCAAAUAUUUUCAGUGUACAUAUUAGUGAAAAUGAAAAUCUAGCUCAGCUUCUUUCGGUUUCAAUGAUGUAUCGUUACUGACAGGUGAUGUUCUAUACCUCGUGUGGACCAUGGUAGGCUUUUCUGGCUUUAAGAUCUCAUCACAAAAUACAGUGGAGAGGGGACAACAAAACUCUGUCCCCCUGGCUGGAAAAAUGCAUAGCAGUCCCUCGCCACGCAUUCUUCCCCAGUACUUACUGAGCAUAACAAAGCAUUUCAGGUGGAAGGUCUUUUUCCGCAAACAUUUCUGUAUGUGCUUAGUUCUACAUCAACUUGAGAUGUCCCACAGAUCUAAAUGGAACUGUUCCUGCAUCUCUAAUCACACUCAUCAAACUGCUGGACUCUCCCGCUGGGAAAGAGGUUAAACCGAGAAAUUAUCUCCUUGAUGAACCAAGUCUGACUACAUUGUUUUCAGCAUAAGGAUCAAUGCAAAUACAAACCUAGCUUGGUUUCUUUUGGUUUUAAUUAUGUAUCAUUUAUUCUAGUAGUUAAUGCAUGAAAUUAAAAAAUGUUGCUAUGCCAUUUUUCUUUAUAGCAGUUAUUACUUCAAGGGACCAAAGAAUAGUUGUUACUUGAGAGAACCCACUAGGCAAAGAUUCAUUUAAUUAUAGUAUCAAAUGGUAAGAAAAGACAUGAAAUAUUAUCGCAAACUGAAAUACCAUUUAAACUAUUUUUAUUUAUCAUUUGCCUUUCCUUUCAUUUGUACUUUUUGGUUACAAUU